GCCUUACACAUGCAAGUCGUACGAGAGUUUUUAACUCAAGUGGCGCACGGGUGAGUAACGCGUAAGUAAUCUACCCUCGCAUCUGGGAUAACCCACCGAAAGGUGUGCUAAUACCGGAUACGUCUAAGUUAAUAUCUUUUUUUUAGAGAAAGGUGGCCUCUGAUUCAAGCUACUGUGCGGGGAGGAGCUUGCGUACCAUUAGCUAGUUGGUAGGGUAACGGCCUACCAAGGCAACGAUCUUUAGCUGGUCUGAGAGGACGAUC
rnacentral:rRNA from 1 species